rnacentral:rRNA from 1 species
UACGGAGGGUGCAAACGAUGUUCGGAAUUAUUGGGCGUAAAGCGCACGUAGGCGGUCUAUUAAGUCGGGUGUGAAAGCCCUGGGCUCAACCCAGGAAGUGCUCUCGAAACUGAUAGGCUUGAGUACGGAAGAGGGUCUCGGAAUUCCCGGUGUAGAGGUGAAAUUCGUAGAUAUCGGGAGGAACACCAGUGGCGAAGGCGGAGACCUGGGCCGAUACUGACGCUGAGGUGCGAAAGCGUGGGGAGCAAACAGG